AGGAAGAAUGUGCCAACCAAUGUUUGCCAAGGCUCUUGUAUCCUGGAAGAAAUUCUACUUCCACUCAACAGAAUGACCAGAUAGAAUGAUGACAAUGGAAAGAAGGCUGCCCCAGAGGAUGAGGUCAGAAGUGGUUGGUAAUCCCUGUCACCGAAGAGUAUGGAGAAGGGAUGGGAAAUGUGAACCACAUAAAAACCAGUGAAAGAUAAAGAC